rnacentral:rRNA from 1 species
UACGUAGGGGGCAAGCGUUGUCCGGAAUCAUUGGGCGUAAAGAGCUCGUAGGCGGCUUGGCAAGCCGGGUGUGAAAACUCCAGGCUCAACCUGGAGACGCCACCCGGGACUGCUAUGGCUAGAGUCCGGUAGGGGAUCACGGAAUUCCUGGUGUAGCGGUGAAAUGCGCAGAUAUCAGGAGGAACACCGGUGGCGAAGGCGGGUCUCUGGGCCGAUACUGACGCUGAGGAGCGAAAGCGUGGGGAGCGAACAGG